CAGGUCUCAGACCUUAGAAUGCCUGAUGCUGGAAAGGCAAGAUUCCAAGGUAUCAAAGCCCUGCCUAAUGAUUGACAAUCAGCAGCAGUCUCAUGCCAGCAAUCAGAGCAGUGAGCAGGAAGAGCAAGCUCCUGAGUGACUGAACUCUGCUUGGGCAGGCUAAAAAAGUGGCCAUCACUCAGGGUUGGCGUUAGCCCUCGUGCCAUUGAUCAAUGAUAUCUCACAUGGCACAAUGAUCCCCCUCCACGGCAUCAUGUUCUCGGGCCCAGGUCAGCAUCAGCAGUCCUUUCCUGGUCAUCAAGUGCACGCCGAGGAUGGCCCUGACAACACAUUGUUUCUUCUUUCCCAAAGGGGCCGUUAACAGGAACAGAAGGGCUUCUGAUCAAAUCAGAGCAGGGCAUCCAUCGGGCUGAACCUUUGUGCCAACCAUGUCUAUACAUACAUCCUAGACACUGUUUGCGGCCUGUGACCGGGGAUGCUGUCUUGGAGGACACAUCAACACACUUUUUUUCAGGGGCCGUUAACAAGAACAGAAAGGCUUCUGAUCAAAUCAGAGCAGGGCAUCCAUCGGGCUGAACC